GAUGAAGAACGCAGCGAAAUGCGAUAAGUAAUGUGAAUUGCAGAAUUCAGUGAAUCAUCGAAUCUUUGAACGCACAUUGCGCCCCCUGGUAUUCCGGUGGGCAUGCCUGUUCGAGCGUCAUUUCACCACUCAAGCCUCGCUUGGUAUUGGGCAACGCGGUCCGCCGCGUGUCUCAAAUCGACCGGCUGGGUCUUCUGUCCCCUAAGCGUUGUGGAAACUAUUCGCUAAAGGGUGUUCGGGAGGCUACGCCGUAAAACAACCCCAUUUCUAAGGUUGACCUCGGAUCAGGUAGGGAUACCCGCUGAACUUAAGCAUAUCAAUAAGCGGAGGA
rnacentral:misc_RNA from 1 species